GGUUAGUAAGUUUGAUCAUGAAAUAUUUAUAAUAUUUUAUAUAUUUCUACAAUAUACAUAUUUAUCUUAUAGAGAAAAUAUAGACAAAUUGUAAAUAUUUAAUUUAUUUAAACUUACUUUAUUAACCCAUUUAUCUGUUUUUAAAUAUAUAAAUUAUAUAUAAAUUUAGAGAGAGUGAGAGAGAGAUAAAUUAUUUAUACACACGACUGAAACAUUCUUUAAAAUAUAUUUUGUGUUCCACAGAACAAAUAAAGCCAAACAAGUCUGGAAGGACAUGAGGACUGGAAAGAAAAGCAAAGGAACGGAUUGGAUGGUGAAGCUUCAGAUAUACUGUACUCAGGGACUCUGGAUUCUGCAUCAUCCAUGAAUGUGAACUGCAAAAACGUCUAAAUAUAGAUUUGCCAGCAUUCCCCAUGGUGGCUGUCUGACAGCAAGAGACACUAAUCCAGCGCACGGCAGAAAGAAUGAAAGCACAGCAACCUGUCAGCUCUGCUCUCCUGCAUGGACACUGAAGCAGGUCAGGACACACCGGGUGAACGGCAGAACCACGUUUAAACAUCAGUUAUAGUCAUGACAUCUAUUCUGUUAUGAAACUAAAACUUGUGCUUGACAUCUGAUUAAUGGGGUUCUCGGUUAUGACUCCAAUGUUGAUCAUUUGUGAUGACAGUGUUGUUGAAGUAGGGUAUGGUUUCUGGAUCCUAGUUUGUCAUGGAACAGCAUUCCUGUUAUCCAGUCAGGAUUUUGGAAAACUGGACCCUGAAAUAUUCAUUGGUCAAAUGAUGCUGAUGUCACAGUGUGUAUAGGAAAAAAUAAAAGAAUUCUAGCUUUUUUUA